rnacentral:ncRNA from 1 species
CCGGGCGUUCCGUCGCCCGUAGUCUAUUGGUGCAUGCGGGGCUGGUAACGGCGCCGUGUGAAGCCACCGAGACAAUGUAGCCCGGCGCAAGCUAAGCCGUGGUCGUGAGACGACGGUGCCCCUGCGAGUGGCAAUGCGGAGGGGGCG